ensembl:lncRNA
AGCGUUGUUAUUGAUUAGUGUUACUGUUUAGGCUAAAAUUAACUUAAUAUAGUUAGUAGUUUUUUUUCCUUUUAGCCUCUGGUUGAGAGAUUAGCUUAGCAUAACUUAGCGUAGCAAAACUUAGCUUAGUAUAACUUUAGAUUAGCAUUAUUUAUUACCUGCACAGUUUCUUUUAAGGACACAGAGAGAGAGAUUGUUCCAGGUGAAGGAUGGGUCGCCCUCGGAAGACCAAGGAACCACCGGUCACCAGGAGGCCACCGCGCAGGAUCCUGCCAAAAAUAAAAGCUCACAUGCUUCACACUGGUAUACCGUGGGCAUGUGUGAGGGACACUAACUCCCCUCCAACUCUGCUGUGGAGCAUUCCCUGUAUGCAGCAGCUGCAGGCUACUCCACAGCCCCCCCAGCAGAAAGCCAGUCAGGAGGUUGUUUUUCCGGAAGACGUGCUGAGUUCUGUUCCUGGAGUCUGGGACCUGGCUGUGGAGAAGGGCAUCCUGCUUCCAUGGAGUAGGCCGCAGGUACAGGAUGUUCCUGCCACCCCUCUGCCCGGCGUGGUCCCUGUCACCUCCGUCACCAGCGCUCAUCAGCCCUCCACUAGCACAUCAUCCAUGGAGCUUGAGGAGCGCUGGAUUCUUCAGGAUCAGAUGGAGGAGGAAAUGAUGACCAGCGACCCAGCAGCAGACAGUCCACAGGGACCCCACCAGGAAGCCAGUCUGGAUGACUUUUUGGAGGAGCUGAGCGCCAUUCCUGUCAUCUGGGACAUGGAUUUCAAGAUGUGCCUCCUCCCUCCACCGUACUAGUACCACUAUUAGUAGCACAAGCAGCACCAAUAGUGAUCACUAGUAAAGGUAAGUAUGAAGGUAAGUAUGAAGGUAAGUAUUUAGUGACGGGCUGCACGGUGACAUUGUGGUUAGCACCUUGUCUCACAGCUGGAAGAUCUGAGUUUCGGUCCCUUCUGUGUGGAGAUUUGCAAAUUUGCAUGUAUCUCCCCGUGUCAGCGUGGGUUUUCUCCGGGUUCUCCGGUUUCCCCCACAAAACAACUAGGCCAAUUGGAGAUGAAUUGGACACAAAUUGGCACCAAUUUAACCUGUAGUUCCUUUAACAGUUUAAUAAUUUACAGUAGUAGCAAAAAAAAGCCCAAAAUAAAAAGGCUCCAGUGGUGGCACUCUUGACCUUCAGGAUCACGGCGGGGUUCAACUCCCUGUGGAGUCUGUUUUCAGAAUGGCUGCUUAUCUAAUGUCUAAAUGUUUAAUGUGCAAUUUAAAAAAAACCUUUACAUGAGGCUAUUCCAUAAUCUAGCAUGGUUUAACUUCAGCAAAGAUUCAUACUGUCCUCUGUAUCUGUGAAAUUAUUUUACGCUGCUAUUGAGCAGGUUGAUGGUUUAUAAAACCAGCAGUUAACGCUAAUAAUGUUGAUCACUUGCCUGAUUUUAUGUCCCUCUGGCACACCCAUUUCAGCGGUUCUGUAGGCAGUCCUGGAAAACUCUGGAGAGGACAUGAGGAGAGCCAGUGCUGACAGUCCGUGAGUGAAACCUGGAGCCAGCUGGUCAGCACAGGUUUUGAGGGAGGAAGAGGAGACGCCGUCUAGACCCGAUGCUUUACUGCUCCUGUUUGGAGAAGAAAUGACAUCUAAAUAAGGAAAAAUAAAAUGUUUAAAUCUUUAAAUGUGU